rnacentral:rRNA from 1 species
UACGGAGGAUGCGAGCGUUAUCCGGAUUUAUUGGGUUUAAAGGGUGCGUAGGCGGAUCGUUAAGUCAGUGGUCAAAUUGAGGGGCUCAACCCCUUCCCGCCAUUGAAACUGGCGAACUUGAGUGGAAGAGAAGUAUGCGGAAUGCGUGGUGUAGCGGUGAAAUGCAUAGAUAUCACGCAGAACCCCGAUUGCGAAGGCAGCAUGCCGGCUUCCUACUGACGCUGAAGCACGAAAGCGUGGGGAGCAAACAGG